AGACGAGGACGUGGAUAGGCCGGGUGUGUAAGCGUUGCGAGACGUUGAGCUAACCGGUACUAAUGAGCCGUGCGGCUUAACCUGACAACACCGAAGGUGUUU
rnacentral:rRNA from 1 species